UAAACUGAGAGUUUGAUCCUGGCUCAGAGUCAACGCUGGCGGCGUGCCUAACACAUGCAAGUCGAACGAGAAAGUCCCGCAAGGGAUGAGUAAAGUGGCAGACGGGUGAGUAACACGUGGGUAACCUGCCUUGAAGCGGGGAAUAACCCUGGGAAACCGGGGCUAAUACCGCAUAAUAUCCUGUUGCGAUGGCGAUGGGGUUGAAAGCUGGAGACAGCACUUCAGGAGGGGCCCGCGGCUGAUUAGCUAGUUGGUGAGGUAACGGCUCACCAAGGCGAAGAUCGGUAGCCGGCCUGAGAGGGCGGACGGCCACACUGGGACUGAGACACGGCCC
rnacentral:ncRNA from 1 species